UUUCAUAAAAAAAAAAAUUUCAUAAAAUUGACUUGGAAAGUAAUUAUUUGGUAAAAUUUUAUGGAAAGUGAGAAAAAGUCAAUUAUAGAGAGAGAGAGAAUUAAAACAUUAAUAAGAUUUUGUAGUAUACUGAGGGUGGUUGGACAGAAGAAUUCAAGUUUAUUCUGAUACAAUUAAUUUAAAUUUGUUUAAGAUGUUGAUUUGUUGAUAAGGCGAAUAAUU
rnacentral:lncRNA from 1 species